UAUAUCGAAGAGCUGCACACGCACGCACACACACACGCACGGCUCUCUCUCUCUGUGUCGCCGCCCCGCCCCCAUCAUCAUCACCACCAUUGCCGUUGCCGUACCGAGCGGGGGUAAGCAAGGAGAGCGAGUUGCGUGAGUGGGUGGGAGAUGCUGCCCCAGCAACUUCAUCGACUUAGCUCUUGAUGGGGGCAGCAGUACGCGCCAACGCAUUCCACGUCGUCACACAUCACUGGUACGCAUACACAAUCUUGACGUCAUAGAACCGAUCAGGAUAGAGAACGAGGGAGACGCAUCUUCCGUGGGCGCACAGACGCACGUCGGCGCGUGCUGCCUCCAUCCUUCCAUCCCCUCCACUUCGCGGCACGAUGCCCCGCGUCGGCCCCUAUCAGAUACCCUUCCCCUAUGCGCCAUAUCCGCUGCAGGAACAUGCCAUGACAGCACUCCGCGACUACCUUGAACAGCAUCGAGGGGGCGAUCACACGGAGUGCACAAGCACUCGAUGCCGGGCGAGCCACGCCGCGUCAGCCACAGUGUCGAGGACUUCGCCGCCCCCAUCGCCCACGGUAGCAUCUACCAGCGGUAUUAGAAGCUUUUCAUCUCGCGUAGCGGUGCUCGAAUCGCCGACCGGCACCGGCAAGUCGCAGAUGCUGCUGAACAGCGUCCUCUCGUAUCUCUUCGAUCCUGUUGAAGACGCUAAGGAUGUUGACGGAACAGAGAGCGCGAGCGGCAGCAGCGUAGUUGCUGAGCCACCCGCUGCGAUGGCGACCGCUUCUGCUCAUGAGUCGGAAAGGGCCGCUCCGAGUCAUUCCCCGCCCUCACCGACUCUGGAAGAAGUGCUCCGUCAACGACAGCUGGAGGAAGAGAUGGUGCAGGUGCGUCGAGAGCGGCGCGCACGCGUUCGCGCGCAGCGGCGGCAGAUUCGGCAGGCCCGCAAGCUCAUGCGCUUCCAGCAGCAGCUGACCAACAGCGGUGACGAGCACGACUUUCUGCUCACACAAGACCCCCUCGCGUGGUAUGCAGAGCAGCUUCCAAUGAUGAAGACGGGGCUCCGUGGUGACGACCUCAUAGACCUGCGCAGCGCAAGCUCACUCUCUUCGUCUUCGUCAUCAUCAUCCUCGUCCUCAUCCGCGAGUGAUGACGAUGACGACGCGGAGGCCCAGCUUGAGAUGGCGCUCUCAACACUCAUUCCACUGCGCAAGCCGAAGGUCUACUUUGCCAGCCGCACCCACACGCAGCUGCAGCAGCUGAUGGAGGAUCUGCAGCGCACCGCCUUUGCCCGGCUACCGCUGCGACCGCGGCAGCGCAAAAUCGAGCCGCUGGAAAGCGCAGCUGGACGAACUGCGGGAGAGGUGAUGGGGGCUAACAACACAGAUGGCCGUGUUACCUCUUCAAAGUCCUUGGGCUCUCCUACCCGUGCGUGUCCUCCAGCGGCAGCAUCACCACCAAAGCCUUCGCGACAGCAGCAGCCGCGCCGUCUCACAGCCGUACACGUGGCUGGCAGACCGCACCUCUGCUUGAACGCAGCCCUGCGUCGCAAGGCUGGUGGCAACAAUGACCGCCUGAACUACUACUGCCGUGAGGCCAUGCACUUCGAGCGCUCGAAGCAGGGACGGCAGUACCGGCGCCAGAAGCAAGAGCACCCGCAACAUCAGCCGCCUCACCUCACCGGCAGCCCUGCCGUACGCAACAUCGAAGAUGCCACUGGGGUGCAGCAACAGCUGGAGGACGACAAGGGAUGCGUGUACUGUGUCGAGUCGCACCUUCGCUCCUUGAUGACGUACCUGCGUGACGAACAGCACCGUGCGGAUGCGGCCACAGACCCCGCCGACGCCGCCAGCGGCGGUGCCAGUGCUUCCGGCAACGGUGGCCCGCACUCUUCAGUCUACACCAUGGACCGCCUUCGGCGACUGGGGGCGGAGCUGCAGGCGUGCCCGUACCUCGCCACGCGCCUCCUCCUCCGGGGAGCCGACGUGGCAUUUAUCCCGUACGGCUACGUCCUCGACGAGGGCCAGCGAGCGGUGCUUCUCGGCGGCGCAGCAACGAACCCGGCGACGGCAGCAGAGGCGGCGGCGCUCUUUGCGACGCCCAGUCGAUCCACCCCGGCGACUGAGGGUGGCGGCGCCUUGCAAGACGAUGCCGCACCGCACAGCCCCCCGUCCCUCGGCACCGUUCUCUAUCAUCGGCGCCAGCGUGUCACGGCCACGGCGGCCUUCAGGCGGCGACGGCAGCAGCAGCGUGGUGCCGAUGUGAACGGGGGCGACGAAGAGGAGGAUGCGAUAUGGAGUACGAUGGCGCGCAGCGCACCGCCUUCCCUUUGCGGGGACAUCUUCGUAUUCGACGAGGCGCACAACAUCGCCGAUCACUGCCGCUCGGCCAGCGCCGUCACCGUCGCCCCAUGGCAUCUCCUGCUUGCUCGACGGCUCUUCGAGACGUACCUGGCGCGUUACGCGUCGCGACUGCUGACGCGCAACAAGCAGCGGCUUCGCGAGCUGGUCCAUUUUCUUAGCAAGCUGUUGGGCUUCUGCGAGCGCGCAGACUCUGCUGCCGUCCUCGGGGAGGGUGGGGGCGGAGAAGGCGACGUCGCACCAUCGCUCUCAGCGCCGUCAUCACCACUCGCGCGACUCCCCCAGCCAUCGACGACGACUCUGGCAACCGCCACGCACACGCGUGUCCUACCCUUCCACGCAUUUCUCUUCGAUGCCGGCAUCGACAGCGUCGACGUGUACGCGUUUCUGACCUUCCUGGUCGACUCGCAGCUGUUGAUGAAGCUGCAGGGGUUCGUCUCCUACACACUGGAUGCGGAGCUGCAGCAGGAAAAAGAGUCGGUCUCGAUAGCGACGAGAGCGAUGACGAUCGCCAGCGGCACGGACGGCAGCGCAGGCUCGACGGCUGGCAUGAAGCGGCAGCGUGGCAGCGGCGUCGGUGUAGGCGUCAGCGAUGCGCGCAAUGAGGCACAGCGGCAGCGGCGCCUCUUGGCGUCUCUCGACCUUCCCGGCAAUCACAAGAAGAUAGCUGAGGACGAAGUUGCACCUCCCCGCCUCUUUCUCGCGGAAUACCUCUCGCAGCAGCUGCAGCCGGCCGGUGUGGCGAUGACGGCGGCAGCGUACGCAGGCGCAGCCGCCCCGCCUGACCCCGUGCAGCUACGCGCGUUGACGGCCGAGGCGCUGCAGUGCGUCGAGCGACUUCUCUGUGCACUGUACGUCUCCGACACCACCUCGACGAGGGUGCUGUGGACGCCGCCAUCCCUGUCACCAGUGUCACCGGCACGGCCCGCAGGUUGCGCCGCGCGACAGGGGGCACUGAAGAUUAUACAGCUAGAGCCUGGUAUGUACACCUUCGCCCCACUGGUGCUGGAGGCGAGGGCUGUGGUGCUGGCCGGCGGCACAAUGCAGCCGCUGGCCUUCACAUGUGGGCCGCUGCUGCCCGCGCAGGCAAUGAUUGGUAGCGACGCUGGCGGUGAUUGUGGCACCGCGAACAAGAGUGAGCGAGCGGCCGUAGAGGUGACUGUUGAAGGAAUCGGCGGCAGCGACUACGCUCACCGCAUCGGCGCAUCGUUGCAGGGCGGUGUUGCACCCGCGCCUGGUCCGUCUGCCUUUCACCUCAUCUCCGAGGGCCACGUCGUGCCAUCGUCGUCAGUGCAAGUAUGGGCCCUCGGUGCCGGACCAAGCGGACUUCGGAUGGAGCUCAGCCAGCAGGCGCUCGGUCUUCGAAGCGAUGCCGCAAGUACGUCCAACGACACCGGCUCUCCACGCAUCGGUGUCAGCAGCAUCAUCAGCCCACACGCCCACCGUGUGCUAGCGGAGGUGGGGUGCACGCUGCUAAACCUCGCCCGAGUGCUUCCGCCCGCUGGCGCCAUCUGCUUCUUCACGUCGUACGACGUCAUGGACACCGUCGUGGCCGUGCUGGAGAGCACUGGCUACUACGCUCAGAUCAACGACGUAAAGCGAAUCUUCAAGGAGACGCGCAACGGCGGCGGCGGCGGAGGGCGGGGCACCGCCAACGGAACAGACGGAGGUGGCGGCGAGGCCAUCGCAGAGCUUCUGCGCGAGUACCAGGAGUGGAUCAGCGGUGAACCUGACAAUCACGGCGCUGCUGAGCGUGCGCCGGGACCGUCGUCGACUACCGCGUCCUCGUCUGUCUGUACAGCUGCCGCAUCCCAGCAGCGGCAGAAGUCGUCUCGUCACGGUGCCUUCUUGUUCGCCGUCAUGGGAGGUCGCCUGUCGGAGGGGAUCAACUUCGCCGAUGACCUCGGCCGCGCCGUCGUCGUGCUUGGCAUGCCGUAUGCGAACCCCACCGACGUGGAGCUGCAGAUGAACCUAAAGCACAUUGUCGCGACACGGCUAAGGACGAACGCCGACGCGGAUCGUCGCGGUAUGCGUGGGACGGCAGGUUCAGCAUCCACGCCCUCGCCCACAUCCUCGUCUCCGUUCACGUGCGCAGAGGAGUGGGGUUUGUACAUGGACAGCAUGAUGCGCACCGUCAACCAGUGCAUCGGCCGCUGCAUCCGCCACGCCGGGGACUACGCGACGAUCAUCCUGCUCGACGCGCGGUACACGGAGCGGCCGGACGCUCGCCGACGCGUCUCUGCGUGGCUGCAGCCGUCCAUGCGCGUAGCGCAGACGUUCGGCCAAUGCUUCAGCGGUGUCCGCGAGUUCUUCGCGGAGCGGCAGCCGAAGGGCUGAGCGGACUGUCUCCCCGAAAAGCAUGGUCCAAACCCGCGUGAAGUCGAUAGGUUAUGGGAAGUAACGUCCACAGCAACGCGAAUGACGGGAGCAGCAGCAUCCUCCACGGUGCCUGCAGGACGCGCUGGCGGCUCUCGGUAUCGGGGCACGCUUUCAGUAAUGAACGACAAGACGCAGAAGACGUGAGCAAGCGCGAGCGUGCGCAUGUGUGGGUUGCAUAUUGUGGAGUCGUGUGGACUGCAGCCGCAGGCGCAGCGGCGCUGGUGUCACCGCUCUCUUCGCCUCUUCCCUCCCGCACACGCUCACGUAAGGGCCAAUGCCCAGUCCGACACCCCCCAGACACAGACGCACACCUCAGCAUCCGGGACGUCGUCCGCACCCCCUCGCCUCUCUCCACCUCGCCUCUUUCCCUCUUUGUUGAUCCGCCGCUCUUCCCUCUUCCCCGCGGCCACACACACACACACACACGCACGCACGCACGCACGCGCGCACGCAAG
rnacentral:misc_RNA from 1 species